UACGUAGGGUGCAAGCGUUGUCCGGAAUUAUUGGGCGUAAAGAGCUCGUAGGCGGUCUGUUGCGUCGGCUGUGAAAACCCGGGGCUCAACCCCGGGCCUGCAGCCGAUACGGGCAGACUAGAGUUCGGCAGGGGAGACUGGAAUUCCUGGUGUAGCGGUGAAAUGCGCAGAUAUCAGGAGGAACACCGGUGGCGAAGGCGGCGUCCUGGACUGGUACUGACGCUCAGGAGCGAAAGCGUGGGGAGCGAUCCGG
rnacentral:rRNA from 1 species